GUUUUAAUAAUUUAAAAAAAAAAUACUGGUCUUGUAAACCAGAAAUAAGAUUCUCUUUUAAAACU
rnacentral:tRNA from 2 species